rnacentral:rRNA from 1 species
AGCGAACGCUGGCGGCAGGCCUAACACAUGCAAGUCGAGCGCCGUAGCAAUACGGAGCGGCAGACGGGAGAGUAACACGUGGGAACGUGCCCUUUGGUUCGGAACAACCCAGGGAAACUUGGGCUAAUACCGGAUAAGCCCUUACGGGGAAAGAUUUAUCGCCGAAGGAUCGGCCCGCGUCUGAUUAGCUAGUUGGUGGGGUAAUGGCCCACCAAGGCGACGAUCAGUAGCUGGUCUGAGAGGAUGAUCAGCCUCACUGGGACUGAGACACGGCCAGACUCCCACGGGAGGCAGCAGUGGGGAAUAUUGGACAAUGGGCGCAGGCCUGAUCCAGCCAUGCCGCGUGGGUGAUGAAGGCCCUAGGGUUGUAAAGCCCUUUCGGCGGGGAAGAUAAUGACGGUACCCGCAGAAGAAGCCCCGGCUAACUUCGUGCCAGCCGCCGCAGUAA